GCUACAACGUGAUCUUGCGCAAUAACUGCCGACGUGAAAACGUUGCGUACUGCUGUUGUAGUUGGUUAGCUAUUUAGCUUUACUAAUCAAGACGCCUGCGUGCAGCCCACCAAAGUCUAGAUACGUCACAAGCGGCGUUGCAUUAGGUCGUGCGCGCUGCUCAAAAUUGACCUGCUAAUAUACAA
rnacentral:other from 1 species